rnacentral:snRNA from 1 species
UUAUAAUUACCACCGAGCGGCGG